rnacentral:rRNA from 1 species
AUUGAACGCUGGCGGCAUGCUUUACACAUGCAAGUCGAACGGUAACAGGCCGCAAGGUGCUGACGAGUGGCGAACGGGUGAGUAAUGCAUCGGAACGUGCCCAGUCGUGGGGGAUAACUACUCGAAAGAGUAGCUAAUACUGCAUACGAUCUAUGGAUGAAAGCGGGGGACCGUAAGGCCUCGCGCGAUUGGAGCAGCCGAUGGCAGAUUAGGUAGUUGGUGGGGUAAAGGCUCACCAAGCCAACGAUCUGUAGCUGGUCUGAGAGGACAACCAGCCACACUGGGACUGAGACACGGCCCAGACUCCUACGGGAGGCAGCAGUGGGGAAUUUUGGACAAUGGGCGCAAGCCUGAUCCAGCAAUGCCGCGUGCAGGAAGAAGGCCUUCGGGUUGUAAACUGCUUUUGUACGGAACGAAACGGCUCUGGUUAAUACCCGGGGCUAAUGACGGUACCGUAAGAAUAAGCACCGGCUAACUACGUG